AGAUGGCGCAUGCUGAUAGCCGUUUGCACAGGCGGAGGUGUGUGACCUUGGUGGAGGUUUUUCUUCGGUGCAAGUGCGACGUCUGGAUGUCCACCUCGACCUCCGUGGCUUCACGUGUCCCUGUUUUCAUCAGGUUACUUUGGACUCUGUUCGACAACGGGAAAGGACACAAGCAACGCCGCACGCAGCGAUCGCCGAGUCAGAGUUGCACCUGUCCCAGAGCAGUGCGCCUUCUCUCGCAGCACUGAUUCAAGCUCGGGAGCUCGUGGACCCCAUCGGCAACUUCUCGCGAGACCUCGAUGGAGUUGUCUGCUGUGGCGAGACCCUCAUCGCGCGCAUCUCGGAGGCCCUCGCAAACCUGCGCUCCUUCCGGAAGCACCCUUUUUUGCAUUGCAAGCACAGUUCUGCUGAGUCGCAUCGACCUCAUCGCUCGGUUUGCAUCUCUCGGCACUCACAGUGCUCACGUGCGCGAAAUAUGCACCGGUGUCUUUACGAGUGCUCUGUGUGUAUGUGGGGAACAGGUUGGCAGCCCCAAGGACAAGCAUGCUCCCGGUAAUGCCUUUGUUCUCGGAUCUGUCGGCCUGUAGGACGCGUUGAAUGGUGUACUUGUGCCCUGGUCCCCUGUGUACGGCUCUGAGAUGCUCCCGGCGCCUUGCUAACGCGAUAUGAUGGCGAGUGCACUAACAGAGCCCAUUCUCGCAUUCCUCGCGGAAUGCUGGAAGCCAAAGAAAGGUACCUCUGACAAACCUGGCCCCUACAGCCGUAGGUGGAGUGGACUAAAUUAUAAGCACGACGGAGCUGGCAAGCAUGGUGACUCUGUUGCUCACCACAAAGGCUGCGCCAGCCGCUACCAACCACCAUGCGGCAGGACAGCAGAUCGCUCUACUUCCCUUCUCUGAUGCCCUCUUCGCGGCUGUGUGUGACAGCGCUGGGUUGCUAGCCAGGCAUGCUGCGCGGCAGGCCUAGCUCAACCAUGUGCCACCUGCUAAGUGAGAAGGGGGCGCAGGACCACAACGCUCUUUCCCACUGCAGGCGCUAACGCGGUGGGGGGGGGGGGGGCUGCCUCAUAACGGACAUCCAGCCCUGCAAAUGCGUUGGUGCUCGCCCAGCGUGGGUGCUGGGUGGUGCACACAAGCUAGCUCGCCGGGAGCUACUGGCGAUACGAAAGUUGCACGGCGUACCGGACUUUGGAAUCGACGCGCUCGUUGACGUUCUUGAGCUCUCGAACAUGAACGGACACGCACGAUGAGGCAGCCAGCGUGCUCGUCUGUCACAGUGUCCUCCCCCGGUCUCCUCCAUCUGACCACGGCCCACUAUGCUCUAGCAGCUGUGGCGCAUCGACAUCGUGAUCACGUGUCUGGCGAGCAAACACGAAGCCAAUGUAAGCCGAAGAACC
rnacentral:misc_RNA from 1 species